UACGUAGGGUCCAAGCGUUAAUCGGAAUUACUGGGCGUAAAGCGUGCGCAGGCGGUUUUGUAAGACGGAUGUGAAAUCCCCGGGCUCAACCUGGGAACUGCAUUCGUGACUGCAAGGCUAGAGUGUGUCAGAGGGAGGUGGAAUUCCGCGUGUAGCAGUGAAAUGCGUAGAGAUGCGGAGGAACACCGAUGGCGAAGGCAGCCUCCGUGGGAUAACACUGACGCUCAUGCACGAAAGCGUGGGGAGCAAACAGG
rnacentral:rRNA from 1 species